rnacentral:lncRNA from 1 species
GCGGAAGUAGGGAGGGAGAUGCAGAUAAAGCUGGACGGAAAGUCGGUGACAUCGACCAUGCAGGUGAAGUUCAAGGUACAGGCCCUGUCAUCGCUCAGAAAGAUUCCCAAGGUCAAUGAGAAUAAGAUUCACUUAAACUCGCUCAAGUUGUUCAACCGACUGAUAAUUUUCGCCCAACGGCAUAUGACAGUCGAGACAAGCUUAAAGUAUGAGCUGACUCCCUCCCCCCCCCCCCCCCCCCCCCCCCCCCCCCCCCCCCCCCCCCCCCCCCCCACGAUCGAGACAAGCAUUUGCUUGUAUCCUUCUCAACAGGAUUCACGAGCACUGCAGAUGACACAGUCAAUGCUGAGAGAGCAGCGGAAGUAGGGAGGGAGAUGCAGAUAAAGCUGGACGGAAAGUCGGUGACAUCGACCAUGCAGGUGAAGUUCAAGGUACAGGCCCUGUCAUCGCUCAGAAAGAUUCCCAAGGUCAAUGAGAAUAAGAUUCACUAAAACUCGCUCAAGUUGUUCAACCCGACUGAUAAUUUUCGCCCAACGGCAUAUGACAGUCGAGACAAGCUUAAAGUAUGAGCUGACUCCCUUCCCCUUGUCCUUGUUCAGCAACAAAGAUCAGAAAAUGAACAAGGCCCCCCCCCCCCCCCCCCCCCCCCCCCCCCCCCCCCCCCCCCCCCCCCCCCCCCACCUCACUGACCAAGCCUGCUCCAGUCUGGUGGUUGAUGGCGGAUGGCUUCUCUUCAUGGUGACGUGGGAACAAGGUCAGACUUAGCAGGGGAUUGCCGACAGUUACCUGAGCUAUGUGCAGUGUCUCGGCCGUCGGUCUCAGAAGAUCACUGUGGUCUUCGAUGGCUAUAACAGCUCACCAAAAGAUCACGACCACAUCCGGCGUACCAAGAACUCCUGCUGUGAUCUACAGAUUCGACCGGAUAUGAUACAUUUGACCCCAAAGGCAAAGUUCAUGGAGAACACUCAUAACAAGAGUGAGCUCAUCCAUCUCCUCUCUUCAACAUUCCGGAAAUGUCAGAUCACCGUGAAGCAGUGUGACAAUGAUGAUGACACUUCAAUUGUGAGAGCGGCACUGGCUGCUGCUACAGAUGACUCUGUUGAGGUGCGGGCGGAAGACGCGGACGUGCUGAUAAUGCUGGUACACCAUAGCUCAAGCACCAACCAUCCACUCUUCUUAACCAAAUCGAAGGGCUCUUACGAUGUCAGGAGGAUCCGAGAAGCUCUCUCUGAAAGACCCCCCCCCCCCCCCCCCCCCCCCCCCCCCCCCCCCCCCCCCCCCCCGGUUUCUGCAAUCGGGGGCCACGGGAAAACGACUCUAUUUGACAGGUUUUGUGCAGGGGACAUUGAUGAACAUACGGACAUCUUCCUUGACGUACGGGCUACUAAGGACGUGGUGAUCAGGGCCGGUAUUGCGAUUUUCCAGCACAUUUACCAUGAACCAGGUGCUACUUUGGGUGCAAUUCGAUACAACAUGUUCUCGCGGAAGGUGGCGGCCGGGCUGAUCAAACCAGAGACUCUGCCUCCAAGAGAGGGUGCAGCUGCACAGCAUUCUCUCCGUGCCUAUCUCCAAACCCGGGACUGGAUGCUGCUGCAGAGCAUGUCUUUGGACCCCAGUGACUAUGAUGGAUCCCCCCCCCCCCCCCCCCCCCCCCCCCCCCCCCCCCCCCCCCCCCCCCCCCCCCCCCCCCCCCCCGUUCACGACUUGCAAUUGUGCUGGAGAUUGCAGCAACCGGCAGUGCAACUGCAAGUAGAAUGGUGUCAAGUGUAUCUCAGCAUGCGGAAGUUGUAAAGGCAUUACAUGUAUGAACUGUAUCCCUGAUGAUGUAGAGUCUGGAGAAGACUCAGACAUCAACUCCUAAGGUAUUUGACAUUGUGGAGCAGCAACGAUUUAAACCCUUACACGAAAGCGGAUGAACCGAUGGUAAACCGAUUCCGGAUUCCCAGUAACGGUUAUUACAAUUUAUGUUACAAUAAGGGAAAACAGUAAAGGUCAGUGACCUUUCAUAAUUUUAAUUUUAUAAAUACCAGAAUGUUUUACUUUUGAUACAUUAAGGCUGCAUAUCUUGGGCAGUCUGCUGGAAACUUUCAGAAAAACGUAACGAAGGGGUAUCUACCGAGAAGACGAAUUGUAGACCAGAAAAGUUAAUAUUUACCCAAAAAAUUGUUUUUUUUGCUCAAAAUUGUGUAAACCUUUUAACAUAUUGAUUUGUUUUCGGUAUCACCAUGUCAGAUAUGUUCUUAGCUUUAAAAUGAGCCUACUUUGAAUAAUUUAGAUGCUUCUUGUCGGAUACUGUGACCCAGAAUGGAAAUAUAAGAAAACCCCCCCCCCCC